rnacentral:rRNA from 1 species
AUUGAACGCUGGCGGCAGGCCUAACACAUGCAAGUCGAACGAGUGGCGGACGGGUGAGUAAUGUCUGGGAAACUGCCCGAUGGAGGGGGAUAACUACUGGAAACGGUAGCUAAUACCGCAUACCAUCGGAUGUGCCCAGAUGGGAUUAGCUAGUAGGUGGGGUAACGGCUCACCUAGGCGACGCUCCCUAGCUGGUCUGAGAGGAUGACCAGCAAAAUUGGAACUGAGACACGGUCCGGCCCCCUACGGGAGGCAGAAGUGGGGAAUAUUGGACAAUGGGCGAAAGCCUGAUGCAGCCAUGCCGCGGGUAUGAAGAGGGCCUUCGGGUUGUAAGGUACUUUCAGCGAGGAGGCGUUACUCGCAGAAGAAGCACCGGCUAACUCCGUGCCAGCAGCCGCGGUAAUAC